AUUGAACGCUGGCGGCAGGCCUAACACAUGCAAGUCGAACGAGUGGCGGACGGGUGAGUAAUGUCUGGGAAACUGCCCGAUGGAGGGGGAUAACUACUGGAAACGGUAGCUAAUACCGCAUACCAUCGGAUGUGCCCAGAUGGGAUUAGCUAGUAGGUGGGGUAACGGCUCACCUAGGCGACGAUCCCUAGCGGGUCUGAGAGGAGGACCGGCAACACUGGAACUGAGACACGGUCCAGACUCCUACGGGAGGCAGCAGUGGGGAAUAUUGCACAAUGGGCGAAAGCCUGAGGCAGCAAUGCCGCGUGGAUGAAGAAGGCCUUCGGGUUGUAAAGUACUUUCAGCGAGGAGGCGGUACUCGAAGAAGAAGCACCGGCUAACUACGUGCCAGCAGCCGCGGUAAUAC
rnacentral:rRNA from 1 species